GUAAUAUAAGAACCCGUCACUUAACUUUUAACUAAAAAAAUUAAGAACCGUUUUAAGAGCCGGUUUUUAGUUUUUUUACUUAAAAAUUAAGAGACAGGUUCUUAUAUUCC
rfam:Brassica napus, WGS project CCCW01000000 data, contig: 16865